UACGAAGGGGGCUAGCGUUGCUCGGAAUCACUGGGCGUAAAGCGCACGUAGGCGGAUUGCUAAGUCAGGGGUGAAAUCCUGGAGCUCAACUCCAGAACUGCCUUUGAUACUGGCGAUCUCGAGUCCGGGAGAGGUGAGUGGAACUGCGAGUGUAGAGGUGAAAUUCGUAGAUAUUCGCAAGAACACCAGUGGCGAAGGCGGCUCACUGGCCCGGUGCUGACGCUGAGGUGCGAAAGCGUGGGGAGCAAACAGG
rnacentral:rRNA from 1 species